rnacentral:rRNA from 1 species
GAUGAACGCUGGCGGUACGUCUGACACAUGCAAGUCGAACGGUAAGCCACCUUCGGGUGGCCUAGAGUGGCGAACGGCUGAGUAACACGUAGGAACCUACCCCUCAGUUCGGGACAACGGGACGAAAGCCCCGCUAAUACCGGAUAAUAUCGAAAGAUUGAAAGGUUUACUGCUGAGGGAGGGGCCUGCGGGCUAUUAGCUUGAUGGUGGGGUAACGGCCUACCAUGGCGAUGAUGGCUAGCUGGUCUGAGAGGAUGAUCAGCCAGACUGGGACUGAGACACGGCCCAGACUCCUACGGGAGGCAGCAGUUCAGAAUCUUGCACAAUGGGCGAAAGCCUGAUGCAGCGAUACCGCGUGGGUGAAGAAGGCCCUCGGGUCGUAAAGCCCUGUCAGAGGGAAAGAUAAUGACGGUACCCUCUAAGGAAGCCACGGCUAAUUACGUGCCAGCAGCCGCGGUAAAAC